rnacentral:lncRNA from 1 species
CUGCUGAUGAAUUUCUGUCUAUGUGGUGUUCCAUGUGGCAAUUAUAUCCUAUUUUGGGGACCUAUAUUUUUCGGUCCCUCUUUUGCAGUUCUACCCCAGAGCCCCGAUACAAUUUUCAAUUCAUGAAGAAUGCCAUAGGCUUUCAAAUAAAAAACUAAAGCUAUAAAAUUAUAUUAGGAUAAUGUAGUAAUUUUUACCUUAAAGAUUUUUACUUAAUCUGUAAAGUCACUUUCUUAAUGAAUCACAGAAACCAGGAAAGUUGUGUAUUAUGAUGCAUUACUGUCCUUAGUUUGAAGACAGUUCUUUUUAUUGUUGUUGUUACUGUGAUUAAUUUGAGCCAUUGAUGAUAUUGGUGGGCAUUGAAAGCCUUAGCUAGUUUUUACACCUUAUGAAGAGUAAUGUAUAGAUUAGCAGGAGCAUAAGGAAAAUGAUGUGAUAAAGAAAAAUGGUCUGGAUAACCUCAGUAAGUCACCAGAAGUGCCAUUUUAAGUUAGGGACAAACUUAAUCUGUAUCUCAGGACUUCAAACUCCUUCCUAUUACUAUGACACACUUUAAAAAUGUUUAUUAAUGUAAAUUUACUUUUGAAAUCUGCUUAAGAUUGUGAGAAACCUCUUGAGGUAUCCAGAUUCAACCAGAGAUCUUUCAAACUAAGGAUAAGAAUUUCUGAAGACUUUUACUUUCAUUUUUGGGUUUGACAUCUUUUGUCCUAGAAGAGAGACAUGCAAACUUUUUCUGUAAAAAGCCAGAAAGUGAUUAUUUGAAGCUUUGUAGCUCUAAAAUUUCUGUCUCAAGCACUCACCUCUGCCACUGUAGCGCAAGAACCAUCAUAGACAUUAUAUAAACUAACAGGUGUGUCUGUGUGCCAAUAAAACUUUACUGACAAAAAAAAAAAGGAAGCAGACUAGAUUGAGCCCACAGAACACCACCUUGUGUAUUUAUACAUUCCUGAUAAAGGACAGUUAGAUCAAGUUUGUGCUAAACAGAACAAAAGUUAUAUUUUUAUGGACACCCAUGGAAAAAUCAUAGAAAUUGAAAAUCUACCUGCAAAAGGAAAAAAAAAAAAGUGUACUUUAAAAAAAAAAAAGCCUUUGAAGUCACACAAAAUUCAAACUGGUUGAUACACUACUAAAAGAAUUAGGGUGUUCUAUAGACUGUCAUUAGAAAAGCAGGCCUUAGAAACGAUCUGGUCUGAUGCUCGCAGUUAAGUUUAAGUAGCUGGCACCCCAGGGAACGUCCGUGACCCAUGCGGAGUCUCACAGCUACUAGGAGCCCAGCCAAAAUCUAAACAUUGUGUCCUCUGCUUUUGUCCUCUUUGUAUAUUAUGUUACCAUUUAAAUAUUAAACUAACAGCUUUAUGCUAUUUAAGUGUCUAUACGUCCUGGCUUUUAAAAGUUAAUAUCCAGGAAAACACAAAUUAAAUUGGAAGGUGUGCACAGGUGAAUUAACAAAGCCUUUUUGUGACUUAAGCCAUGCUGGCACUUUCCCUUUCACUGUCUUUUCUCCAAGGACAAGAAAAAUACAACUCCCUGAAGGUUAAGUAUAAUCAUUAAAGAGAAGAGUCACUGAAGGUUAAGUAUAAUGAUUAAAGAAAAUAAAUGACAAGCCCCACGCAGUCGAGAAUCUUGCCUUUCCGGUAAUGUUUGGGUCCAAAGGCAAAGUAUAUAGAAGAAGGAAUGUGAGAGAAAGGCCAGCCCUUCUCGAUUUAGAUGAAGCUCUAUGGCUGCUCCAGUGGUUGAGUGUGCACUGGUCGCACCCACUCACGAGAGGCAGCCUGGAGCAUGGAAAGGAGGAGUUCAAUUCCUUCUAUUUUCUGCCUUUCUCCAUGAACUCUAAGGGUGAAUGAAAUCAAUGCCCCAAAUAAAGAAAAAUGUUUAUUAAGUGUUCCUGGAUUAUUAUAUAAAAUUGCCUGGGGAGCCAGACCUUAGACAAAAUCUUGAGUCCAUUACCCAUGUAAAGUAAUUGCUAAGAUUAUGGCAAGUGGUACUUUCCAUAAGCCUACAGCAAGGUCCCCAUCUCACGAGCUCUUCCUACAAUGUGCCAUGAACAUUUUCCUCACAGGUGCCAGGUCCUCUGUUCCUUCCCUAGGAUCUGGGUGGUCCUCUGAUGGUGAAAGAAAUGAUAUUCAUGACUCCCAGGCUGAGUCAUAAAAAGGAUACAACUUUCUCCUCCCUGGAUCCAAUGGCUACAUUACAGCCUCCUAGGCACCCCUAAACUCAAAUCUCUGCCUCAGCAGGUGGACCAUUUUUCUCCAUGGUUGUUAUCUAUCUACCCCACGAUUUAUACAGCACUCCCGGGCAGAAAGGCAAAGCAGGCGGAGCACUUACCUCAUGGUUUUCCUUCUCUCACAGUUGACAGUCCAGCACUGCCUGCUGUUCAAUGAUGAAAAUAGUUGCUUCGUGUAAUAGCAGAGUUUGAUGGUUCUUUAUGGUGGGAAGAUAAGUCUGAUCCCAUUUACUCAAUCAUGGCCAAAGCGGAAACUGGCUUUCCCUGUUGUAUAUACAAAGUAUUUUUAUGUUGUGUCCCUUGUUAAAAAGUAGAGCUUGUUUCCUUAAUGCUGGUGAACUUAUUGGUAAGUUAGCAGUGUUGCUAAGUUUAUGUUUUUGUAGAAACUGACCAAUUCCUACCUCUACUAAAUGUUACAUUGUUUAUAUCUGUCAGGAUUUUAUGCAUAUCAGAAUGAAGAGAAAAAUAAAUCCUCCUUCCCUGGGCUCAACGUCUUUCUCUACUGAAUGUGAAAGAGAAAGAAAUUCAACUGACUCCAUCCUUAGAAAGUUAGUUGGUCUUUGAGGGUCUCAGUUUCAGCUAUUAUUGGAGGGCCAUGCUGCAGGAAACCAGAGGCUCAACUCAAGCCUGGAAUUUGCACUGAUUCUGGUUCUUCACACUAGGCAGACUGCGACUUCACAAAAUCCCAUAUGGGAUUUUUCCUUUCCAGGCAUUACUUCAUUGACUCAACGAAUUUUUAUUAACCACCUGCCUUGUACCAGGAAUUUGAAAGUGAAAAGCAGAUUAUAUUCUUUUGGAGGGAGCCACACAUUAAAUGAAUAUUUCAUUGAGCAAUCUGUAAGUCAAUCAUUAAACGCUAUAUGGAAAAAAUAAAGAGCGUAGAUUCCAAGGCUAAGCAUUCCAAAAAGCAGGAAGCAGCAGCUGCCAGGCUAGAAAAGGUCAAUGCCCUUUCCUGAUGCACAGCACCACGUGCUCCAUAUUCUUACUGGUCCAAGCAACCAAAGGCCUGCCCAGGUUCAAGGGGAAGAGGGAAUAGAUUCCAUCUCUCAAUAGGGAGUGGCCAGGCCACAUACAGAAGAGUACGUGGGGUGAAGUUACCUUUAGAAAAUGCACUCAACUACAGUUUACAUGCCUAAAUAUAUAAAUUAAUCAUUGUUAUAUGUAAUAGAGACACAUUUGUGAAUUAUCUAUCACAAGAUUAUUGACAGUGAAAAUCAAAAUUUGCAAAAAUAUCUGAGGCUAUCAUUCACAUUUGGAAAUGCAAUGAGAAUAUUUGUAGGAUACUGAUUUCAUCAUUUAAAGAGAAUUUUUGGCUUUUUAAAAAAUUUUUUUAAAUUACACUUCAAAAAACAUAAGAUAGAGUAAAUGAGGUAUUAUUACUCUACAGCUUUUAUUUUUGAGAAUAUUUGAGUUCAAAUGAGUAGCAGUUAAUAUUCCAAAUUUAUAAUGCCUUGUUAAAUUGUCACUAUCCUAUUUAUUGUCAUAUAUUUAACACCAUCAUAUUUAUUUUAUAUUUACAAAUAUGUAAUUAAAAUAAUUUAACCUCUCUAUGAAGAUGUAAUUUAGUAAAUUAUCCUAUUUAAAUGCAUGCUCAUCAACAAGAAAUUACUUAAAAACAACAAGAAACUUAUCAUAAGAAACACAAGAAAUAGAGAAUAAACAAACUUCUGGAGAAAAAUAAUUUCAAAGACUAAUUACACCUCCAAUAUUAAAUCAUAAAUGCACACUUACGUAAAGACCUUUAGCUUUCCAUUCAGAUUUUAGAGGUGGCCAGAACUGGUCCAAUAUGCACUUUUAAUCCUAUCCACUUAAUAUUUCUUUCCUCACAUUCAUUAUUUAUUCAGUAAUACAUUCAUUUUUCAUUCUUUUAUACAUUUGAUGAACAUUCAUUCCAGGUCAUAAUCUACUAUGAGUAGUGUAUCAGUCAGGGUUGUCCAGAGAAACAGAACCAACAGAAAAUGUGUGUGUGCGCAUGUAUACAUUAUUGACUCAUGCAAUUAUGGUAGCAGAGAAGUCUACACCCAGGACAGCCAAUUGUAGAGUUUCAAUUCUAGUUCAAGUGUAGGGCAGAAGAAAAUUAAUGUCCCAGCUCAAAUAUAGAGAGAGACUUAUGGUCUGUACUGGCCUUGAAUGGACUGAAUGUGGUUCUCCAUGUUGGGAAGGAAUAUCUGUUUUAUGCAGGUCACUCAUUCCAAUAUUAAUCCCAUUCAGAAACACCCUUGCAAACACAUCUAGAAAUAAUGUUUAGUCAAAUACCUGAGCACCCUAUAACCCAGUCAAGUUGACCCAUAGAAUUAACUCGCAUAGGUAAUUAUGAGUAAAAGAGAAAGUGAUUUAUCAAAACCUGUUCCUGUCAUUUGCUUUUGGUUUACUUUCUUCAUAGUUGCUCCACUGUGACUUUGUCAGGCACAGAGAUUACCAUCCUGGUAUCUCUUUGCUGAUCUACUGGUUCAAAAUAACCAUAGCUUAUCAAGAUUCUUUUUAGACUUGCCUUUUGAGUUUUCUAUUUGCUCUCAAAAGCAACUCUGUGUUAUUUAUGUUGACUCAUUUAAUCAACUGCAGACAUAUUUUUGGCCCAGACUUUGAUAAUUGCCAUCAAAUGACUUAGCAAACAUCCUUAUGUUUAAGACACAGCUGUCAGGUACUAUGCAAAAGUUAUUCGGAGAGGGAGAGAGCCUGUCUUUGUCCUGUAGAAAUGAGAUUAGGAAAAGAUAAUAAACAUGACUGAAGUAAGUUCAUAUCUCACAUAUGUAAACAACUCAGGUAAUUCAGUAUCAAAACAGCAAUAACAAAGAAAAAAACAAUCAAAAAUGGGCAAAGAACCUAAACAGACAUUUUCCAAAGAAGAUGUAUAUUCAACAGGCACAUGAAAAGAUGCUCAACACCGUUAAUCAUCAGGGAAUGUAAAUCAAAACCACAAUGAGAUACCUCCCACCUGUUAGAAUGUCUAUCAUCAAAAAGACAAGAACUAGGAGUUCCCACUGUGGUGCAGUGGGUUAAGAAUCUGACUGCAACAGCUCGGGUCACUGUGGGGGCACAAGUUUGACCCCUGGCCUGGUGCAGUUGGUUAAAGGAUCAAUGUUGCCACAGUUGCAGUGUAGGUCUCAGCUGCAGCUGGGAUUCAAUCCCUGGCCCAGGAACUUCCAUAUGCCAUGAGUGUAGCCAUUAAAAAAAGAGAGACAAGAAAUAACAAUGUUUGCAAAGAUGCUAAAAAAGAGAACCCUUGUGCACUGUUGUGGAAAAUGUAAGUUGGCACAGACACUAUGGAGGAUCCUCAAAAAAAUUAAAAACAGAACUACCACCUGAUCCACCAUUUCCACUCCUGGGUAUUUACUGCAAGAAAAUAAAAAUACUAAUUCAAAAAGAUAAAUGAACUCCAAUGUUCAUAGCAGCAUUAUUCACAAUAGCCAGGAUAUGAAAGCACCCUAAGUGUCCAUCAACAGAUGAACAGAUAAGAAAAUUAUAGUAUAUAUACAAUGGAAUAUUACUCAGCCACAAAAAAAGAAUAUUUUGCCAUUUGUGACAACAUGGAUGGACCUGGAGAGUAUUAUGCUUGGUAAAAUAAGUUAGGCAGAGAAAGACAAAGAUUGUAUGUUUUCACUUACAUAUGGAAUCUAAAAAAAUAAAGCAAACAAACAACUAUAACAAGGCAGAAAGGAACUCACAGAGAACAAACUAGUAGUUACCAGUGGGGGCAUGAAAAAAUAAGAUGAAGGGAUUUAGAAGUACAAACUAAUAGCUAAAAUAAAAAAGUUAUAAGGAUAUAAUGUAAAGUGCAGGGAAUAUAGUAUUUUUUAACUUUAUAUGGAGUAUAAUCUAUAAAAAUACAGACUUGCUAUAGUGUUCACUUAAAACUAACAUAAUAUUGUACCUGAAUUUUAAAAAAUCUGUUCCUGACCUUUAGAUGCUUAGGUAGCUAGACUGCAAGUUAUUUACCAAAUAGCAGUUAUACAAGGUUAAAAGGAAUAUGAUCAUUUUAAAAGAUAAGUCAGGUUAUGCCACUUUAGCACUUAAAACACAGCUGUGGCUUCCCAAUAGAUUUAUAUUAAAAUCCAAAUUCCUGGCAUUGGCCUGGACAACCUUCCACAGCUCUCUGACUGCAUCACCCUUUCCUCAUCAACUGCUAUGGCCAGGGCAAAAUUGUUCAUUCCAAAAGAUGCCAAUUGUUCUUUUGCCUCAGGGUCUUUGCCUUUGCUUUCUUCCCUUUGCCUGAAAGGCUGCCUCUUGAACCCCAUCCUCAAGCUCUACACAGGUCAGAGAUACAGUCAAUGCUUCCUCUGUACAGCUUCCAUAUACAUCUAGACACUGCAUCACAAAUAGAUCAUAUUUUUUCAUGGGAAAAUAACUGAGGCAGUUAUGACCAAGAAUUUCAUAGCAAAUAAAUUACUGUCAUGAAUAAAAACGUUAGCAAGGAUAUAUCCACCUAAACCACAUGAGAAUUCAAAUGUAUGAUAAAAUACUACGUAGUUGCAAUUCCUUGUCGAAUCAAUGUAUAAAUUAAGCACCUGAUAUAAAAUACAUUUUCUCUGUAAUAAAUCUGA